CCGCCCCCCCGCCCCGGGGUGCCCAGCCCCCACUGCCCCCCCGCCCCGGGGUGCCCAGCCCCCACUGCCUCCUUCAGACAGGGGCCCCCGCCCCUCCGCGCCGGGGUGCCCAGCCCCCACUGCCCCCCCGCCCCUCCGGCCCGGGGUGCCCAGCCCCCACUGCCCCCCCGCCCCGGGGUGCCCAGCCCCCACUGCCUCCUUCAGACAGGGGCCCCCGCCUCUCCGGCCCGGGGUGCCCAGCCCCCCUGCCGCCAGGGGCUCUUGCCCCUUCAUCUCCAGUGCUUUUCAGGGUAGCCAGCCCCCGUCCAGUCCGGGGGACUCCUGCCCCCCCCGGAGUUCCCAGUCCCCCGCCGCCCGGGUGCUCCGUUUCCCCACGUGAAGGGGUCUGUUCUCUUGCUCUUGAGUUCAGGUGCUGCUUCCCCAACUCCCACCCUGCCUCCAGUGCAGCUCAGGUUUCCUUGGGGGUCUCCCCUUUUCCUGGCCAUCUUAAGGCUCCGCCCUCUCAAUCUGCCAGGAUCGCCAGAGCUUCCCGUCUAGCCUGCGGCAUGCCCCCGCCCGUGACUUCUCUCCCCUUGCCCACCCCUCCGGGGCCCGGCCCCUGCACCGCUGUCCGUGAAACGAGCUCUGGACAGACUGGCGCCCUUCUGUUGCUGUGUAAAGUUGCACCAGUCAGGGAGAGCUAUGGUUUCAGUUGGUGCGUUCACUCUUCUCGGCCCUGGUCCAGGUCUGAUCUCUGCAAACUUCGGUGUAUGCAUUGGUGCACGUACGGAGCUACAAACAUCAGCCAGUAAAAAAGCCACAGCUUGGCUGAGAAUGUGCUGCUGCCUGCGUAACUACCAACUUCCCACCUCAGAGACUGACUCAGGUUUUUAUCCAGCGACGCUCUGAACGACUGAGUGAAGACACAGCAUCAGUAGUAGUACAACAGGUUCUCUAGAACCCAGUCGUUCCAAUCUUAUUAAAACUUCAGUCCCUGCUUCUGCUGA